GGGUUGUGAGGUUAAGCGACUAAGCGUACACGGUGGAUGCCCUGGCAGUCAGAGGCGAUGAAGGGCGUGCUAAUCUGCGAUAAGCGCCGGUAAGGUGAUAUGAACCGUUAUAACCGGCGAUACCCGAAUGGGGAAACCCAGUGUGACUCGUCACACUAUCAUUAACUGAAUCCAUAGGUUAAUGAGGCGAACCGGGGGAACUGAAACAUCUAAGUACCCCGAGGAAAAGAAAUCAACCGAGAUUCCCCCAGUAGCGGCGAGCGAACGGGGAGGAGCCCAGAGCCUGAAUCAGCAUGUGUGUUAGUGGAAGCGUCUGGAAAGGCGCGCGAUACAGGGUGAUAGCCCCGUACACAAAAGCGCAUGUGUUGUGAGCUCGAUGAGUAGGGCGGGACACGUGGUAUCCUGUCUGAAUAUGGGGGGACCAUCCUCCAAGGCUAAAUACUCCUGACUGACCGAUAGUGAAC
rnacentral:rRNA from 1 species